UACGGGGGGAGCAAGCGUUGUUCGGAUUUACUGGGCGUAAAGGGCGCGUAGGCGGCCAGCACAAGUCAGUUGUGAAAUCUCCGAGCUUAACUCGGAACGGUCAACUGAUACUGUGCGACUAGAGUGCAGAAGGGGCAACUGGAAUUCUCGGUGUAGCGGUGAAAUGCGCAGAUAUCAGGAGGAACACCGGUGACGAAGGCGGGUCU
rnacentral:rRNA from 1 species